UACGGGGGGUGCGAGCGUUGUCCGGAAUCACUGGGCGUAAAGGGCGCGUAGGUGGUCUGAUAAGGGUGUGGUGAAAGCCCGGGGCUCAACCCCGGGUCGGCCGUGCCGACUGUCAGACUAGAGUGCUGUAGGGGAGACUGGAAUUCCUGGUGUAGCGGUGAAAUGCGCAGAUAUCAGGAGGAACACCGAUGGCGAAGGCAGGUCUCUGGGCAUUAACUGACGCUGAGGAGCGAAAGCAUGGGGAGCGAACAGG
rnacentral:rRNA from 1 species